rnacentral:rRNA from 1 species
AAAGAUUAAGCCAUGCAUGUCUAAGUACAGGCCGACCCAAGGCGAAACCGCAAAUGGCUCAUUAAAUCAGUCAUGAUUCAUUGGAUGUUGAUGAAUCUUUUACUCGGAUAACCGUGGUAAUUCUAGAGCUAAUACGUGCAAUCGAGCUCCGACCCCGCCAUUCCAGGCGGGGGAAGGGCGCAUUUAUUAGAAUCAUAAACCGAGCGGACUGCGGUCCGUCUCAUACGAGGUUGUGAUGACUCUGAAUAACUACGCCGAGCGCUGAGGCCUUCGUGCCGGCGCCGUAUCCUCCGAGUGUCUGCCUUAUCAGCUUUCGAUUGUAGGUUAUACGCCUACAAUGGCUGUAACGGGUAACGGGGAAUCAGGGUUCGAUUCCGGAGAGGGAGCCUGAGAAACGGCUACCACAUCUAAGGAAGGCAGCAGGCACGCAAAUUACCCACUCCCGGCACGGGGAGGUAGUGACGAUAAAUAACGAUGCGGGACUCUUCCGAGGCCUCGCAAUCGGAAUGAGUUCACUCUAAAUACUUGGACGAGGAUCCAUUGGAGGGCAAGUCUGGUGCCAGCAGCCGCGGUAAUUCCAGCUCCAAUAGCGUAUAUUAAAGUUGUUGGCGGUUAACAAUCGGAAUGAGUUCACUCUAAAAUACUUGGACGAGGAUCCAUUGGAGGGCAAGUNUGGUNCCAGCAGCCGCGGGUAAUUCCRGCUCCAAUAGCGWAUAUUAAAGUUGCUGCGGUUAAAAAGCUCGWAGUUGGACUUUAAGAUACGUACCGGCGGCCCAUCCAAGGCGCGCCCUCGCUUAUCGUCGGCUUAUAAGGCGUUCGCGCUUUAGCCGUUCGGCCCGCCCUUCACCUUGGCUAACCCACCGCCGCUUCUCUCCCCUCACGAGCCCCAUCGCUCAUUUUCCCCUCUUUUCUCGGGGAGAUCGGUCCACACCUGGUUUUUUAGAAAGGCCACUCCCCGCCUCGUCGGGGUCGACGGCGUCGGCGAAAAUAUAGCGGUUUUACCGUUCCCUAUUUCCCGUCGUGCGGUCGGCCGCAAACACCGCGAGGCGCGGGGGCUACGGUGUCCCGCUCCUAUCUAAACGAGGAAACGAGGUGAUCGAGCGAAUCGGGGCGACGAGGCUUCGUUGCGGGGGUCGCGUUGUUGGUGGUCGCUUCGGCGUUGGGUAAAUAAAAGGUCGGGCGGUGUUUAGCUCGGCGAGAGGCGGGUAAGCGCGCCCGGUGGUUCACUUGCCGGCAACGAAUUUUUAAAAGCCGUCGGCGCUCACGGGGUGCUCUUUUACCGAGUGUCCCGNGUGGGCCGAAACGNUCACUUUGNAAAAAAUUAAAGGGCUCAAAGCAGGCAAACCUUAUAGCCUGAUGUAUAUGCAUGGAAUGAUGGAACAGGACCUCGGUUCUGCAUUUUUCUCUCGGUUUUCCGAACCCGAGGUAAUGAUUAACGGGAACGGACGGGGGCAUUAGUAUUGCGACGCUAGAGGUGAAAUUCUUGGACCGUCGCAAGACUAACUACUGCGAAAGCAUUUGCCAAGAACGCUUUCAUUAAUCAAGAACGAAAGUUAGAGGAUCGAAGGCGAUCAGAUACCGCCCUAGUUCUAACCUUAAACGAUGCCAACUGGCGAUCCGCUUACGUCAUUCCCACGACUGAGCGGGGAGCCCCCGGGAAACCAAAGUCUUUGGGUUCCGGGGGAAGUAUGGUUGCAAAGCUGAAACUUAAAGGAAUUGACGGAAGGGCACCACCAGGAGUGGAGCCUGCGGCUUAAUUUGACUCAACACGGGGAACCUCACCAGGCCCAGACACCGGAAGGAUUGACAGAUUGAGAGCUCUUUCUCGAUUCGGUGGGUGGUGGUGCAUGGCCGUUCUUAGUUGGUGGAGCGAUCUGUCUGGUUGAUUCCGAUAACGAACGAGACUCUACCCUACUAACUAGUCGGUGGAUCGUAUCCCGAGACAUNAAGUANNUUNGCCCUCACGGCCCACGGCGUCAUUCCUUCUAAAGAGUUGAGGAAAUNCCGUCNUUCGUCCCCUCCCGAGGAAAUGCCGUCCUUCGUCCCCUCCCGCUCGGUUCGCUUCGGCGUUCAGGGUGUGGAGAAGGGAGGGAGGCGGCACUACUCGUGCGCGUAGGGGGGCCAAAAAGGGGCGUCGCGCGUCGUAGGAGGCGUCGCGUCCGCGCUCGCUACAUUCCCCCGUGCAGGGCCCAGCGAGGGGCGUCCACCGCAACAUCUUCUUAGAGGGAUCGGCGGCGUCCAGCCGCACGAGAGAGAGCAAUAACAGGUCUUGUGAUGCA